AUCCAGCUGACGAGUCCCAAGUAGGACGAAACGCGAUCCUGUAU
rnacentral:hammerhead_ribozyme from 1 species